rnacentral:rRNA from 1 species
GCUUGUCUCAAAGAUUAAGCCAUGCAUGUCUAAGUAUAAACACCUUUAUACUGUGAAACUGCGUACAGCUCAUUAAAUCAGUAAUAAUUUAUUUGAUGGUGACUUACUACAUGGAUAACCGUAGUAACCUAGAGCUAAUACAUGCAUCAAUCCCCGACUUCCUGGAAGGGGUGUACUUAUUAGAUGGAAACCAAUGCGGGGCAACCCGGAUUCUGGUGAUUCAUAAUAAUUAUCGGAUCGAUCGUAUGAUCGAUGCAUCAUUCAAGUUUCUGCCCUAUCAGCUUUGGAUGGUAGGGUAUUGGCCUACCAUGGCAUUAACGGGUAACGGAGAAUUAGGGUUCGAUUCCGGAGAGGGAGCCUGAGAAAUGGCUACCACAUCCAAGGAAGGCAGCAGG